GACGAACGCUGGCGGCGUGCUUAACACAUGCAAGUCGAACGGAAAGGCCUGCUUUCCCUUGUGGAUUGCGGGUACUCGAGUGGCGAACGGGUGAGUAACACGUGAGUGAUCUGCCCCCAACUUGGGUAUAAGCCUGGGAAACUGGGUCUAAUUCCCGAUAGGACUGCAGGGUGGUGCCUGUGGUGGAAAACGAUUUUCUAGUGGUUGGGGAUGAGCUCGCGGCCUAUCAGCUUGUUGGUGGGGUAAUGGCCUACCAAGGCGGCGACGGGUAGCCGGCCUGGGAGGGUGGGCGGCCACAUUGGGACUGGGAUACGGCCCAGACUCCUACGGGAGGCAGCAGUGGGGAAUAUUGCACAAUGGGCGGAAGCCUGAUGCAGCGACGCGGCGUGGGGGAUGACGGCCUUCGGGUUGUAAACUCCUUUCGACCGCGAGGAAGCCACCUGGUUGGAAGGGUGGUGACGGUAGUGGUAGAAGAAGCACCGGCUAACUACGU
rnacentral:rRNA from 1 species